rnacentral:rRNA from 1 species
GGUUAAAACAUAAAAUUCCCCUGAACAAGCCCGAUCCUAUCUGAUCUCGGAAGCUAAGCAGGGUCGGGCCUGGUUAGUACUUGGAUGGGAGACCACCUAGGAAGAUCAGGUGCUGUAGGCA